GGAGGGGUGCCGGAGCGGCUGAACGGGCGCGCCUGGAGAGCGCGUGUGCCUCACCAUGGGCACCGUGGGUUCGAAUCCCACCCCCUCCGCCA
rnacentral:tRNA from 1 species